rnacentral:rRNA from 1 species
AGUGAACGCUGGCGGUAGGCCUAACACAUGCAAGUCGAACGGCAGCACAGUAAGAGCUUGCUCUUACGGGUGGCGAGUGGCGUACGGGUGAGGAAUACAUCGGGAUCUACUCUUUCGUGGGGGAUCACGUAGGGAAACUUACGCUAAUACCGCAUACGACCUACGGGUGAAAGCAGGGGAUCUUCGGACCUUGCGCGAUUGAAUGAGCCGAUGUCGGACUAGCUAGUUGGCGGGGUAAAGGCCCACCAAGGCGACGAUCCGUAGCUGGUCUGAGAGGAUGGUCGGCCACACUGGAGCGGGGACAGGGUCCAGACUCCUGCGGGAGGCAGCAGUGGGGAAUAGGGGGCAAUGGGGGGAAGCCUGAUCCAGCCAUACCGCGUGUGUGAAGGAGGCCUUCGGGUUGUAAAGCCCUUUUGUUGGGAAAGAAAAGCAGCAGGUUGAUACCCAGCUGUUCUGACGGUGCCCAAAGAAUAAGCACCGGCUAACUUCGUG